rnacentral:rRNA from 1 species
AUUGAACGCUGGCGGCAGGCUUAACACAUGCAAGUCGAGCGGAGAUGAGGUGCUUGCACCUUAUCUUAGCGGCGGACGGGUGAGUAAUGCUUAGGAAUCUGCCAUUUAGUGGGGGACAACAUUCCGAAAGGAAUGCUAAUACCGCAUACGUCCUACGGGAGAAAGCAGGGGAUCUUCGGACCUUGCGCUAAAUGAUGAGCCUAAGUCGGAUUAGCUAGUUGGUGGGGUAAAGGCCUACCAAGGCGACGAUCUGUAGCGGGUCUGAGAGGAUGAUCAGCCACACUGGGACUGAGACACGGCCCAGACUCCUACGGGGGGCAGCAGGGGGGAAUAUUGGACAAUGGGGGGAACCCGGAUCCAGCCAUGCCGCGUGUGUGAAGAAGGCCUUUUGGUUGUAAAGCACUUUAAGCGAGGAGGAGGCUACCUAGAUUAAUACUCUGGGAUAGUGGACGUUACUCGCAGAAUAAGCACCGGCUAACUCUGUGCCAGCCGCCGCAGUAACAC